AACGAACGCUGGCGGCAGGCCUAACACAUGCAAGUCGAACGGGCGUAGCAAUACGUCAGUGGCAGACGGGUGAAUAACACGUGGGAACCUUCCUCGUAGUGCGGAACAACUCAGGGAAACUUGAGCUAAUACCGCAUACGCCCCGGAGCAAUCCGGGGGAAAGAUUUAUCGCUAUGAGACGGGCCCGCGUCCGAUUAGCUAGUUGGUGGGGUAACGGCCUACCAAGGCGACGAUCGGUAGCUGAUCUGAGAGGAUGAUCAGCCACACUGGGACUGAGACACGGCCCAGACUCCUACGGGAGGCAGCAGUGGGGAAUCUUGGACAAUGGGCGAAAGCCUGAUCCAGCCAUGCCGCGUGAGAGAAGAAGGCCUUAGGGUUGUAAAGCUCUUUUGGCAGGGACGAUAAUGACGGUACCCGCAGAAUAAGCCCCGGCAAACUUCGUGCCAGCCGCCGCCGUAACAC
rnacentral:rRNA from 1 species